UAUAUCUUAUAUUUUCAAUAUGUUAAGAAAGUCGGCUUCAAUUUGGAUUCAGAGUCUCAUUGUGUAAAGACUGGAAAUCUGUGUUAAAAAAUACCCAAGUAAUGCCAAAAAGAUGUACUAUAGUUAAAACAAUCAUUUAAAUCUGCAUGUUCACCCAAAAUAGAUCAUUUAUUCUGAAAUUUCCAAGGAAAUGGUUAGCUCUCUCAACUUUUAUUGAAGCAUCUAUAAAUAUUCAAUACCCAUUUUAGAGUUCUAAUCAUUAUUGCACUGGUAAAACUCAUGCAGAUAAAAUAAUGUGAACUAAAAUCACAAGUAUCAAGCUGUUUAACAUCAGAU
rnacentral:lncRNA from 1 species